rnacentral:lncRNA from 1 species
GUGUCCUGUACGCGGUGCUGUGCGGUCAGCCCAUGUCCAUCCUCGCGUCCACCGGUUCCGUCGUGACCUACACCGCGAUCCUCUACACCACCUGCGCCCAGUACGGCCUCCCCUUCUUCGGUACCUACGCGUGGAUCGGUAUCUGGACCUCCAUCCUCCUCAUGAUCGUCGCGGUCACCUCCUCCUCCAACCUCGUCCGCUUCUUCACCAAGUUCACCGACGAGACCUUCGCUGCCCUCGUCGCGUGCAUCUUCUGCGUCGAGUCCGCCAAGAAGAUCAUCAUGAUGUUCUUCAACCCCUCCAUCUCCUCCACCCUGGCCAUGGGCUCUGCGCUCACUGCGCUCGUCAC